rnacentral:rRNA from 1 species
GUGUCAGCCGCCGCGGUAAUACGUAGGCAGCGAGCGUUGUUCGGAGUUACUGGGCGUAAAGGGUGUGUAGGCGGUUGUUUAAGUUUGGUGUGAAAUCUCCCGGCUCAACUGGGAGGGUGCGCCGAAUACUGAAUGACUAGAGUGCGGGAGAGGUGAGUGGAAUUCCUGGUGUAGCGGUGAAAUGCGUAGAUAUCAGGAGGAACACCGGUGGUGUAGACGGCUCACUGGACCGUAACUGACGCUGAGACACGAAAGCGUGGGUAGCAAACAGGAUUAGAUACCCGCGUAGUCC